GAUGAACGCUGGCGGCGUGCUUAACACAUGCAAGUCGAACGGAGUGGCGAACGGGUGAGUAACACGUGGGUGAUCUGCCUUGCACUUCGGGGUAAGCUUGGGGAACUGGGUCUAAUAACGGAUAGGGCAAGCUGAGCUCGCGGCCUAUCAGCUUGUUGGUGGGGUAAUGGCCUACCAAGGCGUCGACGGGUAGCCGGCAUGGGAGGGUGUACGGCGACAUGGGGACUGAGAGACGGCCCAGACUCCUACGGGGGGCAGCAGGGGGGAAGAUUGUACAAUGGGCGGAAGCCUGAUGCAGAGACGCCGCGGUGGGGAUGAAGGCCUUCGGGUUGUAAACUCCUUUCGGUAGGGACGCGGUACCUGUAUAAGAAGCACCGGCUAACUACGUGCCAGCAGCCGCGGUAAUAC
rnacentral:rRNA from 1 species